GGGUUGGUGGUGUAGUGGUAACGCAUGCUAGCGGCUAUCCGUCGCUUCCGCUAGCAAGUCCCAGGUUCGAGUCCUGGCCGACCUG